GAUGAAUGGAACCAGUUACUCUGGAGAUUACAGCUCAAUCUUACUCUAGAGUUUAUAUCAACAAUAGAGUUUAUGGCCUCAAAGUUAGAUUAGGUCACCCCAAUGGUGUAAGCACUGUUAAUGGUUUGUUUGUACAAAGAAUAAAGUUCUGCAUGAUCUGAGUUCAGACCAGAGCAAUCCAGGUUGGUUUCUAUC
rnacentral:ncRNA from 1 species